AUUGAACGCUGGCGGCAGGCCUAACACAUGCAAGUCGAGCGGAUGAAGGGAGCUUGCUCCUGGAUUCAGCGGCGGACGGGUGAGUAAUGCCUAGGAAUCUGCCUGGUAGUGGGGGAUAACGUCCGGAAACGGGCGCUAAUACCGCAUACGUCCUGAGGGAGAAAGUGGGGGAUCUUCGGACCUCACGCUAUCAGAUGAGCCUAGGUCGGAUUAGCUAGUUGGUGGGGUAAAGGCCUACCAAGGCGACGAUCCGUAACUGGUCUGAGAGGAUGAUCAGGAACAGGGGGAGUGAGACACGGCCCAGACUCUUACGGGAGGCGUCGGUUGGGAAUUGUGGAAAAUGGGCGGAAUCUUGAUCAAGCGAUGCCGGGUGUGUGAAGAGGGUCUUCGGAUGGUAAAGCACUUUAAGUUGGGGGGAAGGGCAGUAAGUUAAUCCCUUGUUGUUUUGACGUUACCAACAGAAUAAGCACCGGCUAACUUCGUG
rnacentral:rRNA from 1 species